rnacentral:lncRNA from 1 species
CUCAGUUCCCACCGCUAGGGCUGGCUGCGAGCAAGUGUAAGACCAACUCCUCAGGAGGCGAGGCCAGGGGUGCGGAGGCCGGGAAGGCGACUGCGAGGGGUGGGAGGUGGACGCUGGACUCGACCGUCUUUCUCUUCCUGUCUUGCAGCGGGGACCUGUGGCGGCCGGAGGGCUGUCAUCUCAGCCCCGGGAUUCAGAGCGCAUCGACUCCGCAGCGGAGCGGGGCACACCCCGGCUCCCGAGGCGCUGCAGGUCUCUGGCUGAAGCAACAGUAGUUUCCCUCAGCGAGGCCGCAAUUAACGUCUUAUUUGUUCUGGCUCCGUACAGGCAUUGCCGGGACCGCGGUGCGGCGACCGAGGGGGUCAUAAUCAAGAAUCACAAAAAGAACCGUAAGUGGAGAAUCCAGACUCUGGACCCUGACAACAGCACCAUCCAAAGAGGAACCAAGGAGGAACCACUUUGUUUCGUGUCUGCACUACAUUCCAUAUGAAAGCAUUGCUGACAUAUUGACUCAACAACAAAAAGAGAACAGCGGUUUACUCACCCUGGGCUCUGUGUCCUUCCUACUGAAACUGGACUGUUUUUAUUUGUUAGUUUUACAUCACCACUUCAAAUUACAAUUAUUUUCAUUGAUCUCUUUUUCAAGGCAGUGUGCAUUUCUGUGUAUACAUCUGAAUGUAUACAAACUCAUACACAUUUUAUGCAUAUACCAUAUUUGUGUAUGUAUGCCUAUAUUAUUUCCUAGUAU